rnacentral:rRNA from 1 species
AGAGUUUGAUCCUGGCUCAGGACGAACGCUGGCGGCGUGCUUAAUACAUGCAAGUCGAGCGAGGUUACUGUUUUGGAUCCCUUCGGGGUGAAGAAGCUUUAACCUAGCGGCGGACGGGUGAGUAACGCGUGGGUAACCUACCCCAAAGUCCGGGAUAACAGCGGGAAACCGCUGCUAAUACCGGAUGCCUUUACCUUGGGGCAUCUUGAGGUAAAGAAAGGUAACGCUUUGGGAUGGGCCCGCGUCCCAUUAGCUAGUUGGUGAGGUAACGGCUCACCAAGGCGACGAUGGGUAGCCGGCCUGAGAGGGUGGACGGCCACACUGGGACUGAGACACGGCCCAGACUCCUACGGGAGGCAGCAGUAGGGAAUAUUGCGCAAUGGACGGAAGUCUGACGCAGCGACGCCGCGUGAGCGAUGAAGGUCUUCGGAUCGUAAAGCUCUGUCCUUGGGGAAGAAGGUCUUCGGACUUGACGGUACCCAAGAAGAAAGCCCCGGCUAACUACGUGCCAGCAGCCGCGGUAAUACGUAGGGGGCGAGCGUUGUCCGGAAUUACUGGGCGUAAAGGGUGCGUAGGCGGCCCUUUAAGUCGGAUGUGAAAGCCCGCGGCUUAACCGCGGAAUGGCAUUCGAAACUGGAGGGCUUGAGUGUCGGAGAGGGUAGUGGAAUUCCCAGUGUAGCGGUGAAAUGCGUAGAUAUUGGGAGGAACACCAGUGGCGAAGGCGACUACCUGGACGAUAACUGACGCUGAGGCACGAAAGCUAGGGGAGCAAACAGGAUUAGAUACCCUGGUAGUCCUAGCCGUAAACGAUGGGUACUAGGUGUAGGUGGUUUCGAUACCAUCUGUGCCGCAGUUAACGCAUUAAGUACCCCGCCUGGGGAGUACGGUCGCAAGACUGAAACUCAAAGGAAUUGACGGGGGCCCGCACAAGCGGUGGAGC